UGAGAUUGGUUAAACUUUGGACCAUACU
rnacentral:sRNA from 1 species